UACAGAGGUCUCAAGCGUUGUUCGGAUUCAUUGGGCGUAAAGGGUGCGUAGGCGGCGCGGUAAGUCGGGUGUGAAAUCUCGGAGCUCAACUCCGAAACUGCAUUCGAUACUGCCGUGCUUGAGGACUGGAGAGGAGACUGGAAUUUACGGUGUAGCGGUGAAAUGCGUAGAUAUCGUAAGGAAGACCAGUGGCGAAGGCGGGUCUCUGGACAGUUCCUGACGCUGAGGCACGAAGGUCAGGGGAGCAAACGGG
rnacentral:rRNA from 1 species